rnacentral:rRNA from 1 species
UACGGGGGGGGCAAGCGUUGUUCGGAAUUACUGGGCGUAAAGGGCUCGUAGGCGGCCAACUAAGUCAGACGUGAAAUCCCUCGGCUUAACCGGGGAACUGCGUCUGAUACUGGAUGGCUUGAGUUUGGGAGAGGGAUGCGGAAUUCCAGGUGUAGCGGUGAAAUGCGUAGAUAUCUGGAGGAACACCGGUGGCGAAGGCGGCAUCCUGGACCAAUACUGACGCUGAUACGCGAAAGCGUGGGGAGCAAACAGG